rnacentral:lncRNA from 1 species
CUCCAGGAAUGCCCCCUGGUGCAGUGAUGUGCUUUCUCCAGGAAGACCUCCUAAUGCAGUGAUGUGCUUCCUCCAGGGAGGCCUCCUGUCCUAACAGUAACAUAACCUCCCCAAACAGGGCCACCACCUGAGGACCAAAUGCUCUAACACAAAAGACUGUAGAGGAUAUUUUUGCAUUCGAACCAGCACAAUCUCUGAGCUCCAUGAGGCUCCAAAGGACCUGCAGACUGUGGCCCAGUCUAGAGAAUGUGCAUGGCAUGCACGGGCUCUGAGUUCAACCUCCAGCCUACAGGAGAGAGAGACUGGCUCUACAAUCUAAGCUGAAUGCCUGCCACCCCCAUGAGUCUCAAUGUCCCCUGCAUCAUACAAUGAAAAAAAGCCUGUGUUUCAGGACCCGGGGGUGACCACUGGCAAAGGGGAGAACAACAACACCUGGAUAAGGGAACCAACCCUAAGGCCAUAAUCAAGGAUUCCUGCAGAGCCUAGCCCACAGCCAGGUUAGCCAGGCCACAGCCCAGAGUCGGUGCCAACACCCUGGGGUCCUCCUCUGUGGAGUGCUGCGCAGCCGUGGGAAGCCAGGCUUUUAGAACGUCUAGAUGGCAUGAAGCUGGCAGUGGAAUCAGUGAAAAGAUCAUCUGAAGGGAGCAGAAGAGCGAGGCAAGCUAGGGCGUUGGCUGGCUGGGGAUUUGUCCUGACCCUACACACCCCACCCCCUCCGCCACACAUACGCACUCUCCCGGUCCCUCUCCCCACUUCCCUCCUGUUCGGGACUUGUAGCAGCCUGCUUCAGAGCCCAGAAAAAAAAAAAAAUGCUUGGAGUCAACCAGCUGAGCAUACCCAAGCUCGUGGCUUUGUCUCUCAGUGCUGCCCCCUCCAGACUCAGUUUCCCUUCCCGGGAAGGAAGCAUAAUCAUACCCUUGCCCCGGGACAAGUGAGAGUCCGUGGAAGAAACAACAAACCGUAUGGUGUGAAGGGGUGCCCUUUGGAGGCUUCUCCUGGAGCCCCCAGGCCCUGAAAAGCCAGAGCAAAGCCAAGCCAACAACUGCUUUAAAGGCAUUCAACUCCCCUUACAGCCCCGGGCAAAGUCAGGCAUGAAGGCGGGAUCAAGACCCCAACAGAAUUCCGUAAUGAACGCUCUGCUGUCUCAGUUUAUGAGAGAAUACAUAAGACGUGUAAUUGCUUUUGUAUUUCGGACACUCAUUAGAAGAAUAAUAAAUGUUAUUAUUUAUUAAUAUGGC